CAGUUCCCUGGCCUCUGCUAAGGGAACAUGUGGGUUUCAUUGGCUGGUGGCAUUCCCCUCAACACCCAGGGAAAAGGUUUACUGGUAAAUAAACACCUAGGAGUCUGUAUAAAAGAUGGAUGUAGCUGGGACAAAUGCCUGGGUUUAUAUACCCAGGUUUUGCUUGUGCACGUGUAACACGUGUACUUGUGUAAAUCUUUACCAGGUACCAGUGUCCCUCAAGAACACUUUGCCCUCACUAUUUGCAGUGCCAGAAUGAAAACACACCAUGGUCUGUCUGGCCCAGCAAACCCUGCCGAGCCUUGUAGAAGUCCUAUCCUCCCAUAUGGGCUCCUUUGUGCCUUGCCACAGAGAACAUGAAAAUGUGCUUUGUUCCAGCCUGAGGCUGACCCUGCCAUGUGACAUCAGGGAUUGAGCUGGAGCUUCAGCCACAGACUGGGGUGGCCACCAUCACCCACAACCAUGGUAUUCUUUCAGACAUAACCAAAACCAUCACAUUUCGUGUGUGAGUAAUUAGGAACAGGGAACUUGUGCUCCUCCCUCUCUGCAGUGCUCAUGACAAAUAGUGAGUGGGAGUAUUUUAAUUUGAUUCUUCAAAUGAUAAAAGUUCAGUUUUGUGUCGUGCCCUAUCCUUAUGGUUGGUGAACCACCUUUACAACCCUGGAGUAUCCAUGUUUGUGCAUGGUUGGAAGUCUUCUCAAAAAACAAAAUUUCAGAAUUUGACCCCAGUGGGACUCACUUGUUCACCCAUUUUCUUAAAACACUGCAGUGGUUGAAUGUCUGGUAGGUAGAGCUGAUGAUAUGAUUUUGAUUAAAUAUAUAUUUGAUUAUAUGUCAGUCUGGUUGUGUUGUUUGCAUUUUGAUUAAUGCCACUGAAGCCAAAAUGCUCUACAGCAAGAAACUUAAUUCAAUUCUUUUUCAAGAAACAGUUUUCUGAAGCCAUUUCUGCCCACAAGGAAGAGGUCCAGGGGGAACUACAAAUAGGUAGGUUUUAUCUAGAAACAGCAUUUUCCCCACAAAUUAACUUUUAAAAAAAACACUUUGAAAGUUUUUGCAUCAUUUCCAAUGGGAAAUGCUACACAGUUGUAAACCCCAGAAGCUGUCAUAGGAUGGAUUUGGAGUUCUGUGGCCACUGGUCCCAUUGGAUCUGCUUCCUUUGCGUGUCUGAGCAUGCUUGGAGGCAGGCAGGGGAGGUUAGACUCUGCUGACUUUCUUGUUUCUGCUUCCACUUUCCUUCCAGCUAUUUCUGUUUCACCCCAUGGAUACAUCUCCUCUCCAGACCUAAUCAACUGCCUUGUUUCCUCAUCCAUGCAGCGUGUGGAAAGCCAUACAGCAAUUCUUCUAGUCAACAGUGGAUUUUAGGAGGAAGUCCUCUUUCAACAUUUUGCUUGUGAAUUCUGUUUUUUAAAGCUAUGAAUGAAAUAAUUUUGGUUUAUAUCCAAUUGGGAAUUUCUAAGAGCUUCAGUUUGUCUCUUCCAGGUGCAGUCCAGCAGAGAUGCACUGAAACCUGCAGAAAAUCCUUCAUUACCUGGAGAUCUGCAUGUGAGCAGCUAGAUGUGGUCUGGGCUGCAUCCGAGCUCUGAGGCAGCACCGUGCUGAAUAAGUCCCUCGCUGUGGGACAGUCCAGGAGUGACACGACUGGCUUUGAAUGAGGAAAAUCCAUCAUUAGUCUGCUUUCAUUAGAAAAUCCAUUAGUCUGCUCUGUGUCCUGCAGGAGUGUGUAUACCAAGGGCGGGACUUUGAAAUUGCGUGACUGAAGUCACUUCAGUCUUUUUCAGUCUCUAGCACGUCUAUAACAAUUGCUUAACCGCAGAUUCAUUCUUUAU